AUGACUUCCAAAUGUGCUCUUGAUGAAAUAGGCAGAGUUGAUUCUCAGAUUGUGGUGACUCAGGAGCCAUCACUGUCAGUGUCUCCAGGAGGGACAGUCACACUCACUUGUGGCCUCAGCUCUGGGUCAGUCACUACAAGUAACUACCCCGACUGGUUCCAGCAGACCCCAGGGCAGGCUCCUCGCACGAUUAUCUAUGACACAAACAGCCGCCCCUCUGGGGUCCCUGAUCGCUUCUCUGGAUCCAUCUCUGGGAACAAAGCCGCCCUCACCAUCACAGGAGCCCAGCCUGAGGACGAGGCUGACUACUACUGUGGUAUACAACAUGGUAGUGGGAGCAGCUACACUUACCCACAGCAUCUCAGAUAA